AUUUGAUGUUGAGGACAGCUUGAACACAAUUUCUUGAACCUCUCCCAGUAAUCAUAAAGAGUUUCUCCCACAACUUGUUGAAUACCACAGAUGUUCUUCCUUAUAGU